rnacentral:rRNA from 1 species
UGUGUGUUAGUGGAAGCGUCUGGAAAGGCGCGCGAUACAGGGUGACAGCCCCGUACACAAAAAUGCACAUGCUGUGAGCUCGAUGAGUAGGGCGGGACACGUGGUAUCCUGUCUGAAUAUGGGGGGACCAUCCUCCAAGGCUAAAUACUCCUGACUGACCGAUAGUGAACCAGUACCGUGAGGGAAAGGCGAAAAGAACCCCGGCGAGGGGAGUGAAAAAGAACCUGAAACCGUGUACGUACAAGCAGUGGGAGCACGCUUAGGCGUGUGACUGCGUACCUUUUGUAUAAUGGGUCAGCGACUUAUAUUCUGUAGCAAGGUUAACCGAAUAGGGGAGCCGAAGGGAAACCGAGUCUUAACUGGGCGUUAAGUUGCAGGGUAUAGACCCGAAACCCGGUGAUCUAGCCAUGGGCAGGUUGAAGGUUGGGUAACACUAACUGGAGGACCGAACCGACUAAUGUUGAAAAAUUAGCGGAUGACUUGUGGCUGGGGGUGAAAGGCCAAUCAAACCGGGAGAUAGCUGGUUCUCCCCGAAAGCUAUUUAGGUAGCGCCUCGUGAAUUCAUCUCCGGGGGUAGAGCACUGUUUCGGCAAGGGGGUCAUCCCGACUUACCAACCCGAUGCAAACUGCGAAUACCGGAGAAUGUUAUCACGGGAGACACACGGCGGGUGCUAACGUCCGUCGUGAAGAGGGAAACAACCCAGACCGCCAGCUAAGGUCCCAAAGUCAUGGUUAAGUGGGAAACGAUGUGGGAAGGCCCAGACAGCCAGGAUGUUGGCUUAGAAGCAGCCAUCAUUUAAAGAAAGCGUAAUAGCUCACUGGUCGAGUCGGCCUGCGCGGAAGAUGUAACGGGGCUAAACCAUGCACCGAAGCUGCGGCAGCGACGCU